rnacentral:rRNA from 1 species
AUGACACUGCAUUUUUUUUACAUUCAGAAAUUAGCUGCUCCGACUACAGACCGAGUGUUCAACAUGCAGCUGCUUACAUACACUGAGAAUACACAUAUACUACUGCAUAGCUCACAACCAUGCAUGAGUGUUGUCACCACCCGGAUCAGUAGCAGCAAUCAACAGUCCUCAUUGGCAAUAAAUAAAACAAAACAAAACAAAAAAAUCCUGCAUAGUCCACCCAUUGUCGCAUGCACACUUGUCAUAUUUUUUUCUGAACCAAACCAGCAAUUAAUGAUGAAACUCCUCAUACAGAUCUAUCCCUACAAAUACUAA